UGGUGGGGCGAUGGCGGAGCGCGGCCCGGCCUUCUGCGGCCUGUACGACACGUCCUCGCUGCUGCAAUACUGCAACGAUGACAAUUUGUCGGGCACGAGCGGUAUGGAAGUGGACGACCGCGUGUCGGCGCUGGAGCAGCGGCUGCAGUUACAGGAAGACGAGCUGGCGGUCCUAAAGGCGGCGCUGGCGGAUGCUCUGCGUCGCCUGCGGGCGUGCGAAGAACAGGGAGCAGCGCUACGCGCGCGGGGCACCCCCAAGGGCCGGGCGCCUCCGCGCUUAGGCACCACUGCCUCGGGUAUCCCCGUUAGACUGGAGGGGUGGGAUGGGGAGGACCGGGGCCUGGUCCUCAUACUCACCCUCUUCUGUCCCCUAACCCCAUCCCUCCAGUGUGUCAGCUCUUGAAAGGCCUUCCCACCAGGACGCCCCUUAAUGGCUCGGGACCCCCGCGGCGCGUGGGUGGCUAUGCCACGUCCCCAUCCUCUCCCAAGAAGGAGGCGACCUUCGGGCGCAGGUAAAGCACAAGGCCGGGACCCCCAGGCUCUCCAAGACCUCGUGGGAGACAGAGGUGGUUUGUUUGCCUGAGCUCCAGCAGCAGAGGGUGCAGGGAGGAUCUCGCUCGCUCACGGCGCUAGCCUGCUGGCCUCGAAGGCUCUGCCCCCAACUGUGUGCUCUCUUUUAGCAGUGUCCGCCGCUACUUGUCACCAGAGCGUCUCGCCUUGGUGCGCCGCGAGGACCCCCGCAGCCGGACCACAUCCUCCAGCAGCAACUGUAGCGCCAAAAAGGAAGGGUAAGGACUGGGGCGGCGUCAAGCCGCAGAAAGAGAUAGAGAGGAAAUGGUCGAGAAAUGUAGUCAUGCCCCAGGCCACGAGGUCGUAACCUAGAGUGCGGCCAGCUAGUUCAAAAGCGGGGACAGUGCCAGAGCCUUGGAGGGACCAAUCUUGAGGUGGCACGGUGACAGUGGAAGGUCUGGGAGGGCGGAGUCAAUAUUGAGAGGCGUGGCCAGAGUUUUUAGGAGCUGGACGGUCAGGUCUACAGGGUGAGGAAGUCAGGGAGGAGCUUGGCUUAUGGGCGUGGUUAUUAAAGUACAGGAGAGGCCCCGUUGAGUUUCAGGGAUGAAGUCAAGGCAGCAGCCACAGAGUUUCUGCAAGGAAAGAGGUAGUCUGAGGAAUUUAAGGGUGCAGCCAGAGUGUUCGCCUGGGCGAAGUUAAAAUCUGGGGUACGGAGUAACAGAAGCUGAGACCAGGUGGAAGCAUUCUAGAUUCCAGAAGCCUUGACAUCAAAAUCGGGGGGCACUGCCAGGUGGAAAAGGGCGUGGCUUAAAGGUUAGGCGGGGCCGUAGGGGCGUGGUCAAAUGCCAAGAGGUGGAGCCAACUUGGAGGCCUCGCAGGUACUCACUUAAGGAAUAAGUGAAAUGGACGUAAUCAGAAUGCCUGGCGGGCCGGAGAAGGAGCGUUGGCGGGAGGUAGCAGUCAAUUCUCAAGCAACUGAGUCAACUCA
rnacentral:sRNA from 1 species